UAGUCUAACCGCAAGGGGGACGGUUACCACUUUGUGAUUCUAUGACUGGGGUG
rnacentral:rRNA from 1 species